GGAGGGGGGAGGCUGGAGGCCAAAAGCAAAAGCAGCUUGAAAAGUCCUUUUUGUACCACAGAGUGCCUUUUGAUCUGGACUCGUGCUAGCCAUGGAUAUGCUGGGGAGGAAAGAGGACCUAGGGAAGGAAUGGGCAGGUUGUGUUGCCACAUGUCACCUCUGGCAGGCGUCCCGAGGCGCCGGGCCGAAGACUUCUGUCCGGGAGAGUUGGAAAGCAGGCUCCUCGUGCCCCUGUAGCCUCCUGUGUGCCUCUGCCCUGUGGCCACGGCCAGCCUCCUUGGGGAAGGGGAGGCAGGGACACUGGCCCCGGGUGCCCGUGCUCUUCUGCCUUCCCGGCUCUCACCAUGGCUUCCUUUUAGCCCAGAACGUCGGAGGGAAAUGGCCGGCGGAGGACAAAGUGCACGGGCUCAAACCAAGAAAUAAACUGAGUGACCCCUGACAAGUCACUUGAUCCUGUGCCUUGGUCCAAUUCACUGUGUCUCCUGUACUCAAAAUCUGAGCUUUAGUUUCAGAUUUUUAAUUUUGUCUUAAAAUAGCCUCGUUCUCCCAGAAGCUGCGUCAGGGCAGACCUUUCUGGAGGACCAGGGAAGUCUUAACCGAAUAGAACUGCCUUCCUUCCGAUGGUGCCUUGGGGGCCAGAGGCUCAGCAGGUGUUAUUCCACUGUCUGGGGGACCCCAGGAGCAGCUGCCACCCUCUCCCCUGCCCCCCAAUCCCUCCUGGGUGCGUGGAGGAAUGUAACCAAGUGAGAUCCCGGCUCCGGGGCCGCCUCUCCCUUUUGGGGAGAUUCUGGGCCAUGGCCGGCAGGGCCGAUCUGGCCAUGAUUUCGAUGGGACUGGUUCUGAUCUGAUCCGCUGGCCGCUUCUCUGCUUCAUUCUGCCAGAUUUUAACUCUUUGUUUUCUCUGAGGUGUCUCUCUGUCCUUGGACCCUGUCUGUGUGCGAGAUGGAGUUUCCAAAGUGAAUGAGUGUUGCAUUUUGGGAAGGUUGGGAAAGCAAGAUAGCGUUUGAUCAUGUGACUUCUAAACGGCCAGUUCAGGCCCCUUGAGUCUGGCCACCGAGGCCUCCUGUCUGGAUUGCCCGAUCGUCCCUCUCAGGGUUUUGUAUCCUCUUAAGUCCAAGAAUAAUUCCAAAUGUAUUGUCUUACUAGUCGUUUCUCUUUCUUCCAAAAUCCAACAUGGUGACUCACAGAUGGCACUUUGUAAAUGGGAGCUGUUACUGUAGCAGUUGCAUGAAAUGGGGCGCCUCUUUUACUGGCCUCCUCAAACCUCUGCUUUGAGGGGACUUCUGGUGGGCGGCUUUCCCAGGAGCCCCCGUUUGGGGAAGUUGCCCUUCUAUGGUUUGUUAGAGCCGGAGAGCAGCUUUCCCCCUCGAUGUCAUCCAGAAUCAGAUGGGUGGGUCCCGGGCCCUUGGCCGGCUCCUGGCUCUGAGGUAAAUGCCAGGUCUUUGGUCGCUUGGUAUUUGGCGCAGCCUUUAUUCAGUGGCUGAUGGGCUUGGGGCCUCCGGCUUUCCCCUGGUGCUGCCUUUCCUCGUGGAGCCAAGUCUUGUCUUGGCCGGCUUGGCUGGAGUCUGCCCGGUCUAGUCU
ensembl:lncRNA